GGGGCUGUAGCUCAGUGGUAGCUUUGCAUGUUUGCAUGCGGAAGGCCCGGGGUUCAAACCCCCGCAGCUCCA
rnacentral:tRNA from 1 species